rnacentral:rRNA from 1 species
GCCCAAAACAACAAAUCUUUAUAUUUAUUAAACAUAUAAACAACUAAAUUAAUAACUAACUAGUACAGAAAUGGAAGAAACAAUAAAUAAAAGUAAAUUUUAAUAAUUGUACCUUGUGCAUUAUGGUUUUACAAGAAAAAAAUUAAAACAUACAUCCCGAAUUCUAAAUGAGAUGUUAAACUGCUGUCAUGAACCCACUAAUAGCUGUAGAAAAAGCUUUAAAAGACAUUUUAACAGAGGCUACAUACCAUACGCAUAAGAAUAUAGCUGGUUUUCAAUAAACAUUAUACAUUAAAACAUAUAAUAACAUUAUAGUGUAAAAUUAUCGAGGAUAAGCCCGAUAAUUAAUGCAAUACUAAUAUAUUCUAGUAUUAUACUAUAGGCCUAAAAUCAGCCAAUAAAAAUACUUUAUCGUAAAAUAUACUGAUAAAAUAUAUACUACACAAAUGCUAAAUAAAAUUGAAAAAGUGGAGAAACUAAUUACCCACCUAUAAAAUGUAAAGAUUAGUAUUAUAAAUAAAAAAUAUAUAAAACCUAGAAAAAAAAAUAUAUAUGUAAUCAUAAUUAAUUAAGGAACUCGGCAAAUUAUUAUUUCGACUGUUUAACAAAAACAUUGUCUUAUGAAUAUAAUAUAAGAUAAUACCUGCCCAGUGACAUACUGUUUAACGGCCGCGGUAUCCUAACCGUGCAAAGGUAGCAUAAUCACUUGCCUAUUAAUUGUAGGCUAGAAUGAACGGGUUAACGAAAUAAAGACUGUCUCAAUUAAUUACCUAAAAAUUAUUCUCUACAUGAAGAAAAGUAGAUAUACUCGAAGGACAAGAAGACCCUAUAGAGCUUAAUUUAAAAUAUAGAACCAUACUAUAAAAUUUAUUCGGUUGGGGCGACCCAGGGCUAAAAAUCACCCAUUACACAAAAGAUAAAUUAAUCUAGCAAAUGACCCGUAAGAUCAUAAAAACAAGCUACCUUAGGGAUAACAGGCUAAUCCCACUCAAGAGUCCUUAUCAACAGUGGGGUUUGGCACCUCGAUGUUGGCUUAGGGUAUCAAUAUAGCGCAAAAGUUAUAUAAAGAUGGUUUGUUCAACCAAUAACUCCCUACAUGAGCUGAGUUCAGACCGGCGUAAGCCAGGUUAGCUUCUAUCCUCGAUAACAUAAUCUGUUCCUAGUACGAAAGGACCUGAAUAGAGUAAUUACUUAUUUAAAAGAAUUCAUAUAACUAAAUAUUAAUAACUAUUACUAUAAACUAUA